rnacentral:rRNA from 1 species
GACGUAGGGAGCAAGCGUUGUUCGGAUUUACUGGGCGUAAAGGGCGCGUAGGCGGCGCGGUAAGUCACUUGUGAAAUCUCUGAGCUUAACUCAGAACGGCCAAGUGAUACUGCAGUGCCUAGAGUGCAGAAGGGGCAAUCGGGAAUUCUUGGUGUAGCGGUGAAAUGCGUAGAUAUCAAGAGGAACACCUGAGGUGAAGACGGGUUGCUGGGCUGACACUGACGGCUGAGGCGCGAAAGCCAGGGGAGCAAACGGG